GCUGAGCGCCACCUAUUACGAAAGGUUUGACAUUGAGUGCUACCUCUUAGAGCUAGUAUGCAUGUUGUGUUUUUCUUAUGCUAUAACUUGUUUGAGAUUGAUUUAUUAUGGUUCUUAUAUAUGUUUAAGAUGUAUGAUGAUGUUAUAUUGAAGAAUAAUAUGGUUGAGAAUAUGAUUUGAAAUGUUUGAGAAAACUUUAAGGAGAAAUUAUGUCAUAUG
rnacentral:lncRNA from 1 species